CAUUAGCUCACUAAGUCCUUACAUUGCAGGUAACGAUGAGUAGGGCAAGCUGGCGCCAAGUCCUAACCAAGACGAAGUGCAUAUGGGCAUAACUGACCUUGGGAUUUUAUGAUGGGCUCAGCUUUGUGUUAAUAAAAAUAAGUAUCUUGGCUUUAUGUAAUAAUUAUGUUUUUAAAUAAACUAAGAAAUCUCUAUAUGACUCUUACUUUUCUGUAAUAAGUUUUGUUGGAUUGUGC
rnacentral:lncRNA from 1 species